rnacentral:rRNA from 1 species
UGAACGCUAGCGGCAGGCUAACACAUGCAAGUCGAGGGGCAGCGCGAGUAGCAAUACUUGGCCGGCGACCGGCGCAAGGGUGCGUAACGCGUGAGCAACAUGCCCGUAUCAGGGGGAUAAUCCAGGGAAACUUGGUCUAAUACCCCAUAGUAAUUUUGUAAGGCAUCUUAUAAGAUUUAAAGCUUUGGUGGAUACGGAUUGGCUCGCGUGACAUUAGCUGGAUGGUAAGGUAACGGCUUACCAUGGCUAUGAUGUCUAGGGGUUCUGAGAGGAAGGUCCCCCACACUGGAACUGAGACACGGUCCAGACUCCUACGGGAGGCAGCAGUGAGGAAUAUUGGACAAUGGAUGGAAAUCUGAUCCAGCCAUGCCGCGUGAAAAGGAAGAAGGUCCUAUGGAUUGUAAACUUCUUUUGUAUGGGAGCAAUAAGGCCUACGAGUAGGUUGAUGAGAGUACCAUACGAAUAAGCACCGGCUAACUCCGUGCCAGCCGCCGC